UACGUAGGUGACCAGCGUUGUCCGGAUUUACUGGGCGUAAAGAGCGCGCAGGCGGUCGUUCAAGUCGAGUGUGAAAGCCCCCGGCUCAACUGGGGAGGGUCAUUCGAUACUGAUCGACUUGAAGGCAGGAGAGGGAAGCGGAAUUCCCGGUGUAGUGGUGAAAUGCGUAGAUAUCGGGAGGAACACCAGUGGCGAAGGCGGGGUCUCUGGGCCG
rnacentral:rRNA from 1 species